GACGAACGCUGGCGGCGUGCUUAACACAUGCAAGUCGAACGGAAAGGCCUGCUUUCCCUUGUGGAUUGCGGGUACUCGAGUGGCGAACGGGUGAGUAACACGUGAGUGAUCUGCCCCCAACUUGGGUAUAAGCCUGGGAAACUGGGUCUAAUUCCCGAUAGGACUGCAGGGUGGUGCCUGUGGUGGAAAACGAUUUUCUAGUGGUUGGGGAUGAGCUCGCGGCCUAUCAGCUUGUUGGUGGGGUAAUGGCCUACCAAGGCGGCGACGGGUAGCCGGCCUGAGAGGGUGGACGGCCACAGUGGGACUGAGAUACGGCCCAGACUCCUACGGGAGGCAGCAGUGGGGAAUAUUGCACAAGGGGCGGAAGCCUGAUGCAGCGACGCCGCGUGGGGGAUGACGGCCUUCGGGUUGUAAACUCCUUUCGACCGCGAGGAAGCCACCUGGUUGGAAGGGUGGUGACGGUAGUGGUAGAAGAAGCACCGGCUAACUACGUG
rnacentral:rRNA from 1 species